rnacentral:lncRNA from 1 species
ACUUCCGGUUGCUAACGGUUCCCAAACAGCCCCCGAAAACGCUACGUGAGCUGGGCCCUGGGCCAGAGGCAGAAAACGGACGGAAGAAAAGGUCUGGCCGGUGAGUGUCAGAGUGAGGGCGAGAUUGGGUGGUGUUCUCUGCCGGUGGAUAGGCUCGACCGUCCGGUUUGGGAUUGGGGUUAGGUAUUAGGGAGCGGUUCAAAAUUAUGCUAAUUGUUAAGAUUACGAGUAUUAUUUAAAAAGAUACACAACAGCAACAAUACAAUGAGCCCACGAAGAUCAAAUGCCAGUUAACUGAUUUAAGCAGCUUUGAUAGGAAGAAAAUGCUGAAUUUAAUGCUAACAAAAAGAUCUAAGUGCGCUGUUAGGGGCUAAGACUUUAACAUUAUGGGCCAGCCACUGUUCUAAACCCUUCACAUUUGGUCACUCAUUUAAUUCCUACUUUAUGAGGUAGAUAUCAUUAUAAUACUGUUUUACAGAUGGGGAACCUGAGGCACAGAGAGAAAAAUGUAUUAGCCAAGGUCAUAUAACUAGUAACUGGCAGAACAAAGAUUCAUACCCAGGCAUUCUUCCUUUAAAUUCUGUACUCUGGCCUUUCAUUGAUAACCUGGUUUUAUCAGCUUAGGAAAUUUGCUAUCCAGAUGGAAGUAUAAGUUUCUACAGAGAUAUGUUAUUGCAGCAGUGUUCUGAAUCUCAUCGGGUUUGUUGGCAAUUUGCCUUUCAACAAAGGGUUUUUUUUUUUUUUUUUGAUAAGGGUGGCUUCCACAGAGAUUUAAGGAGAACAAUAAAAAUUUUCAUUUUAAUAAAUAAGCCCCAUUUCAA